GUAGGUGGCAAGCGUUGUCCGGAAUUAUUGGGCGUAAAGCGCGCGCAGGUGGUUCUUUAAGUCUGAUGUGAAAGCCCCCGGGCUCAACCGGGGAGGGUCAUUGGAAAACUGGGGAACUUGAGUGCAGGAGAGGAAAGUGGAAUUCCACGUGUAGCGGUGAAAUGCGUAGAUAUGUGGAGGAACACCAGUGGCGAAGGCGACUUUCUGGCCUGUAACUGACACUGAGGCGCGAAAGCGUGGGGAGCAAACAGGAUUAGAUACCCUGGUAGUCCACGCCGUAAACGAUGAGUGCUAAGUGUUGGGGGGUUUCCGCCCCUCAGUGCUGCAGCUAACGCAUUAAGCACUCCGCCUGGGGAGUACGGUCGCAAAGACUG
rnacentral:rRNA from 1 species